rnacentral:rRNA from 1 species
UCAGACGAUGCGUCAUGCAUAUCAAUAAGCGGAGGAAAAGAAACUAACAAGGAUUCACUCAGUAACGGCGAGUGAAGCGGGAAGAGCUCAAAUUUGAAAUCUUGAAAGGUCACCUUUCACGAAUUGUAGUUUAAAGAAGUGUUUUCUGUUACGAUCGUAAUAUAAGUUCUUUGGAAUAGGGCAUCACAGAGGGUGAGAAUCCCGUCUAUGAUUGCGAUUUGUAGCUUUGUGAUACACUUUCAAAGAGUCGGGUUGUUUGGGAAUGCAGCCCAAAACGGGAGGUAAAUUUCUUCUAAGGCUAAAUAUUGGCGAGAGACCGAUAGCGAACAAGUACCGUGAGGGAAAGAUGAAAAGAACUUUGAAAAGAGAGUUAAACAGUACGUGAAAUUGUCAAAAGGGAAGCGUUUGACACCAGUGUUGUUUUCUCGAAAAUCAAUUAAAAAUGGCUCGAUUUUGUAUUGCUUGAGACCUUAAAAGCUCACUGUACAUUUUUCGUGUCUUUUUUAAUGCACUUUUCGUUUAACAAGUCAACAUCAGUUUCUUUUGUUGUAAAAGGGUCAUUGGAAGGUGGCUUUCUUUUCGGAGAAAGUGUUUAUAGCCUUUGGCCUCUGCAAUCGGAGAGACUGAGGUCUGCAGCGUCAGACUCUUCGGGGUUAGAUACAUUUGUGCUAAGUUAUAGCUUUUUAUAGACAACUUGUUGACUAUAAUUAGUCUUGUAGCUUACUCGCUUAUGCUAUUUUACCUACGCUUAGGAUGUUGACUGAUAUGUAGUCGUA